CCUACCUUAAGAGGCCAAACACCACUGAAUCAUUUGUGCUGGAGUGGACCUCAUGCUGAAAAGUGUCUUUCAGGCCCCAGGUCACGGGGAAAGGUCAUUGGGUGCCUAUUGCUUAGAAAGGCUCCUGACAAAGCAGGUAUGACAACCAGAUAAUGACUGCUUUGAAGAACAUAAGAAAUUUCCCUUUGCUUCAAUCCUUUGGAAUCACAGAAGACAUACAGAUAAAGAAAAGAACAUGCUGCCAAGUAAAUGUCACCUGUUUCUGAGUAUGUGCCAGGGGUUUGGCGAUGAGUUAAGAGCCAGAAGAGCUGCACUGCCCUGAACUAUUUCCAGCAGAGCCCUAGAGGCUGAUAGCUCCAGAAUGAUUGGAGGAUGGCUCUUCCUUGCCAAACUAUC